GAGGCAAUGGCCAAGUGGUUGAGGCGAUGGACUAGAAAUCCUUCGGGCACACCCCGCGUAGGUUCAACUCCUACUCCCUACG
rnacentral:tRNA from 1 species